GCCGGCUUAGCUCAGCUGGUAGAGCAACUGAUUUGUAAUCAGUAGGUCGACGGUUCGAGUCCGUCAGCCGGCUCCA
rnacentral:tRNA from 2 species